rnacentral:rRNA from 1 species
CAGUAGCCGCGGGAAUACGUAGGUCCCGAGCGUUGUCCGGAUUUAUUGGGCGUAAAGCGAGCGCAGGCGGUCAGAUAAGUCUGAAGUUAAAGGCUGUGGCUUAACCAUAGUACGCUUUGGAAACUGUUUAACUUGAGUGCAAGAGGGGAGAGUGGAAUUCCAUGUGUAGCGGUGAAAUGCGUAGAUAUAUGGAGGAACACCGGUGGCGAAAGCGGCUCUCUGGCUUGUAACUGACGCUGAGGCUCGAAAGCGUGGGGAGCGAACAGGAUUAGAUACCCCGGUAGUCCCUGUCUCUUAUACA